GGCAAGAUGGCCGAGCGGUCCAAGGCGCCACGUUAAGGUAUUCAAACCUUGAUCCUCUUCUCUCUGAGAAUUCCGUGGUCUCGAAAGGGGCGUGAGUUCGAAUCUCACUCUUGUCA